AAAAAAAAAAAAAAAAGAAUUGGGUAUUGUUUUUGAUGAUCAAGAAAGUAGAAGAAAAGAGAAAAUUAUGCCUUUUGAAUGCUUAGAAGCGCCAGAUAGCUAAAUUGGGCUAAGUUAUAUGAGAAUUAUAGACUUAUUGGGAGAAAGUAGAAAAAGAAGGGGAAAGGCUGAACAGCUGAAGAAUUUGUCUUUAAAAUUCCGGUGUUUACACUAUCUUCUCCCUAAGGAAAUUGAGCAAGUACAUUCUUAAGUAAUAAAACUAUUUCUUUUGUAUCGAAUGCAAUUUUAGAAAUUGGGCUCAUGUGCUUCAAUAUUUGAGACAAGCGGUCUUCGACUGGAGUUAUAAAAUUGAAAACUUUUAUGCUACAUUUGUUGCAAGCAUGUUGCUGCAGUUUUUAGGGGAACCUUUUCAAUCAGUAUAACAUGUACAAGGUUCUGUUCAACAUGGGUUGUCUUUAUAGUCUUUCUUGUUUCUUUCUUGUUUCAUCGAAGUUUAUAAUUUUAAUUUGUUCUUAUAUAGCCUAUUAAGUGGCUUUUGUGAUUAUCAGAUUUGACAUUGAAGGAUAUGUGACUGGAUUUGGUCAUCCAGAUUGGGUGAGGACACAUAAGCAGCAUUUUGAGCUAUUGCAUAUUUAUAAUGAGCUUUAAAGAGUAAAAUCUUGAUUUCAAGGUUACAAUUCAGCAUUUUGAAUAAUUGGAAGUUGGAGUAAACUACUAAGAUUGGCGAAGGAUAUAAAUUUGUGACACUGAG
rnacentral:misc_RNA from 1 species